AACGAACGCUGGCGGCACGCUUAACACAUGCAAGUCGAACGGCAGCGGCACCUUCGGGUGGCCGGCGAGUGGCGAACGGGUGAGUAACACGUGGAGACCUGCCCUAGGGUACGGGACAACAGUUGGAAACGACUGCUAAUACCGUAUACGUCCUACGGGAGAAAGAUUUAUUGCCCUUGGAGGGGUCCGCGUCGGAUUAGCUAGUUGGUAGGGUAAAGGCCUACCAAGGCGACGAUCCGUAGCUGUUCUUAGAGGAAGAUCAGCCACACUGGGACUGAGACACGGCCCAGACUCCUACGGGAGGCAGCAGUGGGGAAUAUUGCGCAAUGGGGGGCAACCCUGACGCAGCGAUGCCGCGUGAGUGAAGAAGGCCUUCGGGUUGUAAAGCUCUUUCAGUGGGGAAGAUUGUGACGGUACCCACAGAAGAAGCUCCGGCUAACUCCGUGCCAGCCGCCGCGGUAAU
rnacentral:rRNA from 1 species